GGUCCGGUAGCUCAGCUGGUUAGAGCGCUGCGUCUAGUCAACAAGUGGUCGUGGGUUCGAUUCCCUCCUGGUCCA